ACCCCACUGCUAUCGGGAUGGGACUAAGACAUGCUAGUUGAGCGCUUCCAGCCAACACGGGAGCGCAGCGCACAGCUCAGUAACACGUGGCUAAUCUGCCCUUGGGACCGGAACACCCCCGGGAAACUGGGGCUAAUUCUCGAUAGGUGAAGAACUCUGGAAUGAGUCUUUGCUUAAAAGACGUUUGCGUUAUGCUCGUAAGCGUCGCCCAAGGAUGAGGCCGCGACCGAUCAGGUUGUUGGUGAGGUAAUGGCUCACCAAGCCUUUUACCGGUGCGGGCCGUGAGAGCGGGAGCCCGGAGAUGGGCACUGAGACAAGGGCCCAGGCCCUACGGGGCGCAGCAGUCGCGAAAACUUUGCAAUAAGCGAAAGCUUGACAGGGCUAUCCCGAGUGCCAUCCGCUGAGGAAGGCUUUUACCCAGUCUAGAACGCUGGGGGAAUAAGGAGAGGGCAAGUCUGGUGUCAGCCGCCGCGGUAAUACCAGCUCUCCGAGUGGUGUGGAUGUUUAUUGGGCCUAAAGCAUCCGUAGCUGGCUAAGUAAGUCCCUUGUUAAAUCCACCGAAUUAAUCGUUGGAUUGCGGGGGAUACUGCUUGGCUAGGGGACGAGAGAGGCAGACGGUAUUUUCGGGGUAGGGGUGAAAUCCUAUAAUCCCGGGAAGACCACCAGUGGCGAAGGCUGUCUGCUAGAACGCGCCCGACGGUGAGGGAUGAAAGCUGGGGGAGCGAACCGGAUUAGAUACCCGGGUAGUCCCAGCUGUAAACGAUGCAGACUAGGUGUUUGGACGGCCACGUGCCGUUCUAGUGCCGCAGGGAAGCUGUUAAGUCUGCCGCCUGGGGAGUACGAUCGCWAGAUUGAAACUUAWAGGAAU
rnacentral:rRNA from 1 species